UCACCUAAGCUCAACUGAAAUUGCUUGAAAUCACUCUAUAAAUUUUCCAUACCCUGAAAAUUUGCAUUCCAUUUUCUAUGAAGAGAGAGCAAGCCACACCCUAUAAAGGUAAAAAGAUCCACUCCAAUCACUGUCUAUAUUUGUUCAGUAAAUUUCUUACUGCCUUAGGAAUCAGAAUAUUAGCAGGGGUAAAAUCGCCCUCAGCCUGCCCUCGCCAACUAGCUAGCCUGAAGGAAGGGAAAAAUGAGGCGCGAUCGACUGCACGACCAAAGGCUGUAAAAUGACAUCAAUUACAGGAGAAAAAAAUACGUUUGGAAGCUACAGGCAGAAAAAAUAACAUCAGGUGAUAAAGAACGGUAUUACAUAGUUCAAAGGGGACACUGACAAUCUAUUAUUUCGAUCGGAAACAAAAUAUAAAUGUCUACAAUGUCAACUAAUUAGUGUUAUGUCAAAAAGAAGUGCUGAAAGAUUGAAACACUUGCAAGAGGCAACAAUACAUGCUAAAAGAUCCCGAAAAUUAAUGCACAAAAAACCUGUCUUGAUUUCUCAAAUGCCAGCAAGUUGUUCUCUCUCUUGUAACUUAAAUUUUUCUACAGACGAAGCAAAAAUUGUGACCAAACUGGGAAAAGGAGGAGGAGAAUGGCGGCUAUAAUGAGAAGAAUAGCAAUACAAGUGCAUUUU
rnacentral:lncRNA from 1 species